rnacentral:misc_RNA from 1 species
UCAACAUCUCCUUCAGU